rnacentral:siRNA from 1 species
AAGGCAAAGUGCCUGAUGAUUUUA